UCAGCCAGGUUGCGAUCUCUCUUUCUUGGAAACCUUUCCAGCAAAAGAGGUCAAUCUUCUAUUGGUGAUUUUAAUAUGCUGCAAUUUUUCAGCACCAAGUGCAACUUCCCCAAAGCGCCAACCAUUAAUUGUUUAGGUGCUUUGGCAUCCCCCUCUCCCUGGUUGGAUAAAGUGUAACUCUGAUGGAGUUCAAGAGGUAAUCCUGGUUUUGCUAUAACUGGUGGCAUUAGCAGUUUUGCAUAUUUCCUUAGGGUUCAGUCUCCCUUUUUUGCAGAAUUAAUGGUUGUUAUUCUUUCUUUGGAGCAUGCGAUUAGCAAGGGUUGGAACAAAGUCUGGCUUGAAUGUGACUCUCUUUUGGUAGUCCAAGCUUUCUCUAAAACCUCUUUGGUCUCUCAUUCUAUUAGAAAUAGGUGAUUAAAUUGCUUGUAUAGAAUUAGUUUUAUGCAGUUCAGAGUUCAGAGUCUCUCAUAUUUAUAGAGAAGGUAACAUAUGUGUUGACAAACUAGCUAACUUUGCUAUUAAUUAACUCUAGAAGUUCUACAUCAUGGGAAAC
rnacentral:lncRNA from 1 species